AGCGCCAGCGGCUUCGAGUUGACUGCCAGGCCGGUGGACUGAAUCACACUGAAGUGUUGCUGUGGACCCUCUGUCCGGGACUUGGAGCCGUGCAGAGCCAGCGGCGAGGUUUGGGACAGGACAGGAGGGGACACGGAGCAGGAGUCUGACAAUUCACUCUGUUUGUCCUCUUCUUCAUCAUCCUCGUCGUCGUCGUCAUCAUCCUCAUCAUCCUCUGCGAGGUCUUCCAGAUCACUGCUGAGAGACCCGUCACUUGAGCUGUCGGAAGAUGUGGCCGAUUCGCUGUUGCUCGCCACAGAAGCGUCAGCUGGCUUCUUUCGUGGCUUCUGACAAAAAAACAGGUUUCUGGAUGGGCUUUUCCACCAACUCUGCUGGAUUGCUCUGGGGGCUGCACCGGUGACUAUUGGAGGGGUUGGAAUUUUUGGUUGGCUUGGUCAAUGCUUGAACAGGAGUCGGACUCGCAGAGAAGCUCCCCGGCUGUGUGGUGGGAGGACAGACCCCGCUCCCGUUCACUGCCCCAUUCACCCCUGGAAGCAGAAAAAAGAUCUACUGUGUUACGAAAUUUACUCCAUCUUCUCUAAGCACUGUGCUACGCAGGAUAAUUAAAUAUCUGGAACUAACUGCAGAAUGGAAUAAAAAUAUUGAUUUAUA